GACGAACGCUGGCGGCGUGCCUAAUACAUGCAAGUAGAACGCUGAAGAGAGGAGCUUGCUCUUCUUGAAUGAGUUGCGAACGGGUGAGUAACGCGUAGGUAACCUGCCUUGUAGCGGGGGAUAACUAUUGGAAACGAUAGCUAAUACCGCAUAACAAUGGAUGACCCAUGUCAUUUAUUUGAAAGGGGCAAAUGCUCCACUACAAGAUGGACCUGCGUUGUAUUAGCUAGUAGGUGAGGUAACGGCUCACCUAGGCGACGAUACAUAGCCGACCUGAGAGGGUGAUCGGCCACACUGGGACUGAGACACGGCCCAGACUCCUACGGGAGGCAGCAGUAGGGAAUCUUCGGCAAUGGGGGCAACCCUGACCGAGCAACGCCGCGUGAGUGAAGAAGGUUUUCGGAUCGUAAAGCUCUGUUGUAAGUCAAGAACGAGUGUGAGAGUGGAAAGUUCACACUGUGACGGUAGCUUACCAGAAAGGGACGGCUAACUACGUG
rnacentral:rRNA from 1 species